ACGCGAUGGAGCGGCGUUCGAGGCCAAGACACCCUCGCUCGGGACCAAGAAAACGCGGAAUGCAAGCCUCCGAUUACUCCAUGAAGGCACCAAGACGGUGAUCGUAGCUCCCAAAAAAGUCCGCUGCUAUCUCCACGACACUUCGACGCUUCGACGCCUUGACACCACCGGACACGUUUUUCUCGCUUUGAUGAGCUUCGUCUAAACUCUGCUCUGCUUAUCCCACAAACAAAGUGCCAACCUCUCCGGGGUUAUCGGACCUGAGCAUUUGCAUUGGUCCGAGGCAACCGCAUGAGCCUUGGGCUUGGCAACGAGAUUUUUUAAGCGACAGUGAAAGAGAGGAGACUCUGGAAAGGGGAGACUCUGGAAAGGGGAGACCGGAAAGAAAGGGCGAUGGUGGAAAGGGCGAUGGUGGAAAAAACCGCAGAGACUGCCAAAGACAACGGCCCCUCAGACGGCUCCAGAAACGCCCGUGUUGCACGGCAAGAUCCUCGGGAUUGAUCCGAAACUCUACCAGAACUUCUCGGAGAUAACCACCGUCGAUAACCCACCGUCGAUAACCCACCAUCGAUAACCCUCUGUCGAUAAACCGCCAUCCCUCAGGUCCGCAGGGUUGUGCGUUUAGGCGAGAGUACAGCACGCACAGUACUUGUGCCAUGGACAUGUGCACCCUACAGUAGCUCCUUGUUAGUGCGAAACCAUGUCACCGUUCGCCAGCUAUACUAAUUACGAUCGAUCGAAGUUCCACUGGUGCUACAGGCUCUCCACUGUGGCGGAAGGAUUGAGAAGUAAAAAUCGGCGAAAAUGCAACACUGGACGGAAAAAACAACCUAAACGUUGCUGGUGGGCCAAACCAUGGCUUAUUGUCAACGGCGCAGCACUGUGACUCAGAAACAGCGACAAUAAACCCGUAGAAAUGGAUCGUGCAAAAAGAACAACAUAUCAAUACAAAGGACAUAAUUGUAGUGCCACCGC
rnacentral:misc_RNA from 1 species